CCUUCUUGUUUUUCGUUGCUGAUGAUUUCCCUAACUUUUCUUCCACAGGUUAGCUUUGCAUUUCAAAGGAUGUCUGUUACAUUUUACAAUAAGUCCCCUACAUACGAACCUUCAAGUUGAGAACUUUCAAAGAUGGGAACGUGCCCUCGAACAUCCAAUCACGUUUUCUGAUUUUGGAGUCUGCCUGGUUGACUGAACAUCGGAUGAAUGACUUGGGUUCCCCUGUCUUUGGAAAUUAAUAUUUCCCAAAGGAUAGAGGGUAAACCCAGCUACCAUUUUGAGUCUUGGAUGCAUUGGAACAUGUUUUCCUGCUGGUACUUCUGAUAGAGCUGAUUUGACUCCAAAUAAAUUGUCAAUAAAGGGAGCAUUGACUUAUACUGGCUUGAUUUUAGAUAUUCUUGUAUAUGAAAUGAGUUUUUUUGUUUUAACAAAAAGUAAGUCAAA